UUUUGUAAUUUGCUUCUCCCCAACAGUUAAAAGUUAAAACCUGGAGAAACCUGUGUUAGAGAGAGAGAGAGGGGCCGAUGAUGACGACGGUUCCGCCGGUAUCCAAACCUGCUCGUCGUCGUCAGCAACACACGACGGAGUUUUGAUCAUUGUGGUGGUGGUUGUCUUUGGUAGCCCAGAGUAGGGUCUGUCACGGAAUUAUUGUCAUUGCGGUGGUCUUAGGCGGCGACGGACACGGUUUGUGCCGGAGAGCGAUGAGGCGGUGGUCAAGCGGUUAGGGUUUCGAUCCACUUCCGCUACAUGCAUUUGGUCUAUGAUUCUGUUUUUGGCGUUUGGGUUACUGAGGCAAUGAUGAUUGUGUGGGUGUAAACCGAGUUAAGGAUUGCACCGUGGUGUGGCAUGUUUGAGAGAUGGUAGAUGUUCACCUGCAACCUCCAAUGCAGCCACGGUUAUGUCCUUCAUUUACACCCUCUCUGAGCCUCUGAAUCUAUGCAACGUGAUGGUAUGUAAUGCUCUUUUUAUAUCGGAACUGGUUGCAUUAUACAUAUGUAUUAAUAGCCACACAUUUAUCUGCUGCUAAUUGGAUACUUUUCGCUAAUUCUAAGGAUGGGUUAUUAACUCAGAUUUAGGAAAAUUUUCUACCCUGCAAGACACCGCAUCAGGCAAGUUCUUAAAAAAGUUUAUGUUCUCUUCAUUUGCAAGUUCUUAAAAAAGUUUAUGUUCUCUUCAUUAAUCUUGGAUAUUCAGAUAAAAAAACAUGUUAGAACGCCUUAUUAAAUUAUGAUGUUAUUACGAUAUUCAGUGUGUAUCAUUUAAGAUUGUCACAAAUAGCUCAUUUUGUAAAAAAAAAAAAAAAAAAAUUUAAAAAAAACUCUUUCUAUGCCCAAGGUUAUAUACUAGGUUAUGGAUUAU